rnacentral:rRNA from 1 species
UCCAGACUCCUACGGGAGGCAGCAGUAGGGAAUUUUGCGCAAUGGGGGAAACCCUGACGCAGCAACGCCGCGUGAUUGAUGAAGCCCUUCGGGGUGUAAAGAUCUGUCAGUGGGGACGAAACUUGACGGUACCCACAGAGGAAGCAUCGGCUAACUCCGUGCCAGCAGCCGCGGUAAUACGGGGGAUGCAAGCGUUAUCCGGAUUUAUUGGGUUUAAAGGGUGCGUAGGCGGUCCGUUAAGUCAGCGGUAAAAUUGCGGGGCUCAACCCCGUCGAGCCGUUGAAACUGGCAGACUUGAGUUGGCGAGAAGUACGCGGAAUGCGCGGUGUAGCGGUGAAAUGCAUAGAUAUCGCGCAGAACUCCGAUUGCGAAGGCAGCGUACCGGCGCCAGACUGACGCUGAGGCACGAAAGCGUGGGGAUCGAACAGGAUUAGAUACCCCCGUAC